GGCCUCAUCGUCUAUCGGCUAGGACAACUCCCUUUCACGGAGUAAAGAGGGGUUCGAUUCCCCUUGGGGCUACCA
rnacentral:tRNA from 2 species